GAUGAACGCUGGCGGCGUGCCUAAUACAUGCAAGUCGAGCGAACAGACGAGGAGCUUGCUCCUCUGACGUUAGCGGCGGACGGGUGAGUAACACGUGGAUAACCUACCUAUAAGACUGGGAUAACUUCGGGAAACCGGAGCUAAUACCGGAUAAUAUAUUGAACCGCAUGGUUCAAUAGUGAAAGACGGUUUUGCUGUCACUUAUAGAUGGAUCCGCGCCGCAUUAGCUAGUUGGUAAGGUAACGGCUUACCAAGGCAACGAUGCGUAGCCGACCUGAGAGGGUGAUCGGCCACACUGGAACUGAGACAGGCACCAGGGGCCUACGGGAGGCAGCAGUGUGGAAUCUUCCGCAAUGGGCGAAAGCCUUACGGAGCAACGCCGCGUGAGUGAUAGAGGUCUUCGGAUCGUAAAACUCUGUUAUUAGUGAAGAACAAAUUUGUAAGUAACUAUGCACGUCUUGACGGUACCUAGUCAGAAAGCCACGGCUAACUACGUG
rnacentral:rRNA from 1 species